rnacentral:lncRNA from 10 species
CAUCAAGAAAUAACCAUAAAAAUGGGCAACCAGCAGCUCUCAGGGCUGCUCUGUCUAUGGAGUUGCCAUUCUCUUAUUCCUUUACUUUCCUAAUAAGCUUGCUUUCGCUUUAUGGACACACCCUGAGUUCUUUCUUGUGCAAUAUCCAAGAAUCCUCACUUGGCAUCUGGAUUGGGACCCCUUUCCUGUAGCAAAUUCCCUCUUCUGUCUGGGUUGAGGCACAGGUGGUUGGGUCACAGCUUGGAUUUAUACAUUUUAGGGAGACAUGAGACAUCAAUCAUUAUGUGAUGUCCAUAAGUUGGGUCCAGAAAGGCGGGACAACUUGAGGCAGGGAAGGGGUUUCCAGGUCAUAGGUAAAUAAGUUGCAUUCCUUUGAGUCUCUGAUGAACCUUUUACUGAAUACACAAUUUACCUGUGAGAGGAGGGUAGAGGAAUAGUCACUUAUGCCUUAGUCUGGGUUAGUGAAAAAAUAGGGCAGAGGAAGCAAUCAGAUGUGCAUUUGUCUCAGGUGAGCAGAGGGAUGAGUUUGAGUUCUGUCUGUCUUUUGUCCAAACGCAAUUUCCUUGUGAGCAAAUUGUAGCUUUUUUAUCGUUGUAGCUAUCUUAUUUAGCAAUAAAAUGGAGGCAGGUAUGCUUGACUCAGUUCACUGUUUGACUUCCUUUUGCCUUAGUGAUUUUGGGGGCCCAAGAUUUCUUUUCCUUUUGCAAAGUGUAGAAUGAAAUCCCGAAAUAUUUUUUUCUUGGUGACCUUUCUCUCCUCAGGAGUGGAGAUCUGGUCUACUGUAAACAAAGGGUAUCGAAACAAUGGAACAAACGUUAAUUUCAGGAAACAAAAGACCAGAAGUUCAAACGUUGAAGAAUGAUUUCACUACGUGACCACUGAACAAUCACAGAUAUACAUUAAUUCCAGAAUUUUCUAGGUUUUUUCAUACCAGAGCAUCAAUACCCCUAAAAACCUUUUCUUGCUGGCCUUGACCACCCUUCGUACUAGGAUGUAGUGUUGAUGUUUUACUCUGCCUCCCAAGUAGCUGGGAUUACAGGCAUGCAACAUCACACUUGGCUA